rnacentral:rRNA from 1 species
CGCCCUACGGGGGGCAGCAGUGGGGAAUAUUGCACAAUGGGGGAAACCCUGAUGCAGCAACGCCGCGUGAGUGAAGAAGUAUUUCGGUAUGUAAAGCUCUAUCAGCAGGGAAGAAAAUGACGGUACCUGAAGAAGAAGCCCCGGCUAACUACGUGCCAGCAGCCGCGGUAAUACGUAGGGGGCAAGCGUUAUCCGGAUUUACUGGGUGUAAAGGGGGCGCAGACGGCGAUGCAAGCCAGGAGUGAAAGCCCGGGGCACAACCCCGGGACUGCUCUCGGAACUGCGAGGCUAGAGUGCAGGUGGGG